rnacentral:rRNA from 1 species
GGACUACAGGGGUAUCUAAUCCUGUUUGCUCCCCACGCUUUCGUGCAUGAGCGUCAGUGUUGGCCCAGGAGGCUGCCUUCGCCAUCGGUGUUCCUCCACAUCUCUACGCAUUUCACCGCUACACGUGGAAUUCCACCUCCCUCUGCCACACUCUAGCCAAGUAGUUUCGAGCGCAGUUCCCAAGUUAAGCUCGGGGCUUUCACACUCGACUUGCUCGGCCGCCUGCGCACACUUUACGCCCAGUAAUUCCGAUUAACGCUCGCACCCUACGUAUUACCGCGGCGGCUGGCAC